rnacentral:rRNA from 1 species
UUCCAGCUCCAAUAGCGUAUAUUAAAGUUGUUGCAGUUAAAAAGCUCGUAGUUGAAUUUCGGGACCAAUAUGUCGGUCGUACUUUGUACGUACUAGCAUUAUUGGUUUCUCCCUUCUGAAGAAUCGCGAUGUCAUUAAUUUGGUGUCGUGGGGAAUCAGGACUGUUACUUUGAAAAAAUUAGUGUUUAAAGCAGGCUCGCGCUUGAAUACAUUAGCAUGGAAUAAUGAAAUAGGACGUUUGAUUCUAUUUUGUUGGUUUCUAGGAUCGACGUAAUGAUUAAUAGGGAUAGUUGGGGGCAUUAGUAUUCAAUUGUCAGAGGUGAAAUUCUUGGAUUUAUUGAAGACUAACUACUGCGAAAGCAUUUGCCAAGGAUGUUUUCAUUAAUCAAGAACGAAAGUUAGGGGAUCGAAGACGAUCAGAUACCGUCGUAGUCUUAACCAUAAACUAUGCCGACUAGGGAUCGG